UUUUUUCCUUUUUUUUUUUUUCCCGGGGAGUCGGCCUCGGGGCUCUGCUCUCCUACCUCAGUCUGCCCUACCCUGGAAUGGGGAAAAUGCGGACAUGCCACUCAGUCCGGCCGCGAACAGUGCUCCAGAACUCAGAGAGUUUUCCAGACGGGUGGAGAUCGCGUUCCCUGCCCGCCGAGGUCCCAUCGCUUCCCUGCUGGGAAGACAAAUGAGGCGCUUUAGCCGUCUCCACGGCCAGCCCCUCCCUCAUAACCCGAGAUUCUUUGUGGGCUCUUAGUCCAUAGCUGCCUUUGAGGUGGUGUAGACCUUGCUAACCAGGACGGCCCAGUAGGCAGAGCUCAUUUUUAUUCCUGUCUGCAAUCGUGCAAAAACGCCUCUUAUGGAAAAGCCAGAGCGCCAGGAGUCAGCAAAACACACUAAAGAUUGGGCAGUCACUGGGGAGAACAUGGCCUGAAGCAACUGAAGAUCCACAAAAGAAGUGAAAAUAGCCUUAACUGAUGACAUUCCACCAUUGAGAUUUGUUCCUGCCCCACCCUAACUGAUACGAUAUAUUCUCCCCCGCCCUUAAGAAGACUCAGCCCGCCUGCACCCAGGUGAAAUAUACAGCCUUGUUGCUCACACAAAGCCUGUUUGGUGGUUUCUUCACACGGAUGCAUGUGACAUUUGGUGCUGAAGACCCAGGACAGGAGGACUCCUUUGGGAGACCAGUGCCCUGUUGUCGCCCUCACUCCGUGAGGAGAUCCACCUAUGAUCUCAGGUCCUCAGACCAACCAGCCCAAGGAACAUCUUGCCAAUUUCAAAUCGGGAGUGUCAGGCCUCUGAGUCCAAGCUAAGCCAUCAAAUCCCCUGUGACCUGCACGUGUACAUCCAGAUGACCUGAAGCAACUGAAGAUCCACAAAAGAAGUGAAAGUAGCCUUAACUGAUGACAUUCCACCAUUGUGAUUUGUUCCUGCCCCACGCUAACUGAUACCAUAUAUUCUUCCCCCGCCCUUGAGAAUGUACUUUGUACACCUAUCCCAAACCUAUAAGAACUAAUGAUAAUCCUACCACCCUUUGCUGACUCUCUUUUUGGACUCAGCCCGCCUGCACCCAGGUGAAAUAAACAGCCCUGUUGCUCACACAAA
rnacentral:lncRNA from 1 species